GUCAUCUGCAAACAAUGAUAGUUUUACUUCCUCCUUUCCAAUUUGGGUUUCAUUUAUUUUUCUUGUCUAAUUUUUAGUGUUCCUGGCACUGGUGGAAGUUUCCACCUUCCUGGUUUCUGCUGCUACUGCUGCUGCUAAGUCGCUUCAGUCAUGUCUGACUCUAUACGACCCCACAGCUGGCAGCCCACCAGGCUCCCCCCGGCCCUGGGAUUCUCCAGCAAGAACACUGGAGUGGGUCGCCAAUUCCUUCUCCAAUGCAUGAAAGUGAAAAGUGAAAGUGAAGUCUCUCAGUAGUGUCUGAAUCCUAGUGACCACAUGGACUGCAGCUCACCAAGCCCUUCCGUCCAUGGGGUUUUCCAGGCAAGAAUACUGGAGUGGGGUGCCAUUGCCUUCUCCUGGUUUCUGGCCAUACGUAAAGAUUCUUGAUAUCUCUAAUUUUCUUGAAGAGAUCUCUAGCCACUGUGGAUCCCGCCACCACCUCUGCUGCCGCCACGGAGUCCACGGCUGCCGCCACAUACCACGGCUGCCGCCCACAUCCACCGGCCGCUCCCACCACAACCUCCGCUGCCGCCACAUCCACGGCUGCUCCCACCACAUCCACUGCGGCUGCCACAACCACCACUGCUGCCAAGACCCCCACGUCCUAUGAACAGUGCCUCCUUUAUUUUCGUUUUACCCCAUGGCUUAGGUUCAUUUUCUGCUAAAAGUUAUCACUGAGAUGGAAUCAGCCUCAGCCUUCUAUAUUUGAUCCUACUGGAUUCGGCCAGAAUGUCCCUUGAUUUGUUUCACUGCUAGUACUUUCCAGCCCUGUCAUAUCUCUCUUAUCUCUAAUCAGUUUCUAUUCAUUCAAAUAAAAUGAUGAGUGACAUCAAAAAUAUAUUUGUUUAUUUAGCUGUCGGCCGAGCAGUCAUCCAAUAGUUAUGU
rnacentral:lncRNA from 1 species